rnacentral:rRNA from 1 species
GGGGAAUAUUGCACAAUGGGCCCAAGCCUGAUGCAGCCAUGCCGCGUGUAUGAAGAAGGCCUUCGGGUUGUAAAGUACUUUCAGCGGGGAGGAAGGUGUUGUGGUUAAUAACCGCAGCAAUUGACGUUACCCGCAGAAGAAGCACCGGCUCACUCCUUGCCAGCAGCCGCGGUAAUACGGAGGGUGCAAGCGUUAAUCGGAAUUACUGGGCGUAAAGCGCACGCAGGCGGUCUGUCAAGUCGGAUGUGAAAUCCCCGAGCUUAACUUGGGAAUUGCAUUCGAUACUGGGAAGCUAGAGUAUGGGAGAGGAUGGUAGAAUUCCAGGUGUAGCGGUGAAAUGCGUAGAGAUCUGGAGGAAUACCGGUGGCGAAGGCGGCCCCCUGGACAAGGACUGACGCUCAGGUGCGAAAGCGUGGGGAGCAAACA